GACCACAGUUAAUAAGGUGGGCGGAGACAAGAAGACCACAGUUAAUAAGGUGGGCGGAGACAAGAAGACCACAGUUAAUAAGGUGGGCGGAGACAAGAAGACCACAGUUAAUAAGGUGGGCGGAGACAAGAAGACCACAGUUAAUACGGUGGGUGGAGACAAGAAGACCACAGUUAAUAAGGUGGGCGGAGACAAGAAGACCACAGUUAAUAAGGUGGGCGGAGACAAGAAGACCACAGUUAAUAAGGUGGGCGGAGACAAGAAGACCACAGUUAAUAAGGUGGGCGGAGACAAGAAGACCACAGUUAAUAAGG